GACAAGCGAGGCCCAUAGCCUUCCCAGGACCUUAUUGCUCUUUGCGGGCUUCGGGGAACCUCUGGUAGCCAUUUUCUCAGUUGGUUUUGGUUUUUAUCAAGAACGCAAACUAAAUACUUGAGAAUGAUGGGUCCUCCCUGGCUCUCCUACUCUGCUUUGCAUCCCUCUAGCCUCCUCCUGCCUAGCUCCCAAUCCGUGGGAAGAAAAAGCGCAGGUACCCAAAGCGACCGGGCAGGGGGCAUCCGGCGUGCCGCUCCCGCAGUCCCUGCCUCCCCCCUCCCAUUCCCCUUUGGCCCCUCUGCGCUCGGCCUGCUGAAGCGGUCAGGCAGGGGCAUUCAGGGUUCGCCUUUCGCUGCCCCCGCAGCAGCCGACUGCGUGUCGGGGCCGGGCUUUUGCCGCAGUGUAUGUACGCCCGGGCAGCCAAAGGCUAAGGACGGACAAGCAGGCUGGCGUACCCACCAACCCGCCGGGCCAGGGCCAGCCUGCUUGUGCUGUCACUUUAAAUCUCCCACCCGCACGCCCCCUCCCCAUCCCCGCAUGGGCAUUCCCCACGUGCGUCUGUGGGUGCGGGCUCGCCGGACCGGGGUAGGCGUGUAGCAAUGGGGACGGUGUCGGGGGGGGGGGGACUGCCCUCUAUCCCCCUCUCCCGCGGCCCCCCGAACCGCCGCUCCCCCCACCCCCAGCCUCGCUGCAGUCGGAGGAGAACUAAAGCGCGAACAAAGCUCGAGUGCGCGCCAGUCACGUCCCAGGGCGGCAGCAGCCGAUGCGGGGCUCCGCUCACUGCCCAGCCACACAAAGGCCGCCGGCCGCUUGCUGGCCACAGGCUGGCUUAGUCAGUGGUCUGCUUUAAGCCCGGAGAAGGCGCACUUUAGGUACAGCCAGGCUAAAGCUCUGCUUGGCCAGGGCGCACGCCUGUGGAGAGGAGCCUGCGGCCACUGCCAGUUCUAGGGGAAGGACGUUCGGGAAAGACAUUCGCCGGGAAACGUCUGAAAGAAUCAGGAAUAUGAAGAAACCUGGAAAGACCUUUAUGAAAUAGCACAAGAGGAACCAAGCAGAGUCAGAAGAACAGAGCGUAUACUCCCUUUCACUGUGGAGACAGAGAAGUGAAUGAGAAUGAAGGGACAAGCAAAGAAUGUUGAGGAUGCUUUAAGAGAAGGGGCUUCCUCACACUGGGGGUGUCAUGGACUCUUCUGGCCAUCGGUGUACCCUAUAGACCUGUCCUCAGAAUCAUAUUUUUAGUUGCAUUAAAUAAAAUACAUAGGAUCCCAAAGGAAACCCAUAGGUGACAUAUUAUCAUAUGUUCUAUAUGCAUGUAAUAUAGAAUAAUGUAUAAAAAUAAAUAGUAACUAAAAUA